rnacentral:lncRNA from 1 species
AGUACUCCCCCGAUACAGCCACCUUUGUAUUCUAUCAACUCUCUUGUCCCCCUCUCUCUAAUGAAACCUGAGCAGCCGCCCUUUCCAAUCCCUCACCUAAUCCCGUUGAUAAUGAGAUUCCACCAUUAUUUUCUUAUCAUAUCUGUAUUUUUUCACUACUGGUCAUACGUUUAUGGCAUUACUUAGGUACUUGUGCAAUAUUGGAAACUACCCUCUCUAUAUCAAACUGGGAUCGACCUCAACCUUAGAUAUUUGGAUGAUAUUUCGUCCAUAUACACGAAAAAAUUCCUGAUUAUUCAUGUUAAUUGGCUGAUUUUUGAGUAUCGAACCCUAAUUAGGGUUUGGAGACUGAUUUCUUUCCUACUAUGUUACCUUACUGAUUACAUGUGAUAUUAUUUCAUUUCUGGUAUUUGACUGAUGAUUUUCCUUGUUUGUUCGUUAAUAUCUACUAUCAUAUAAACCCCUCCCCAAUUUUCCCUCUAGGAACCGAACUUUCACUACUAUUGCACUUACUAUAUUUUCCCUCGCUCGUUCACUUUCUAUGAAACACUUGGGUUUUUGGCCGGCUAAAACCCAAGGCCAUAAUAUUAUCAACUUCCUCUGGUGCUAGCACUACUCGGAGUCCUUUCGAGGCUCUUGUGAACUAUGAAGAAUUGGGGAUCUGGGGUUCUUGGCACCAUUAUACUAAACUUCUUAUUCAUUUGUUCAUUUAAUUUUGCUAUUGGUUAGUGUUCUUAACUCUUGCAAUGUUAACCAUUUUCUUUUUAUUUAUCUGUAUGUGUUCUAUGUGUUAAUGAUGUUUAAAUUCUGUAAGCAUGAUUUAUUUUCUUUGUUAUUUAUGAAUCCUUGAUACUAUAGCGACAUGAUAUUGUUCUAUAACCCCUUGCAAUUCUAUGUGCUUUGUUAGUUAAAUUUGUUAGGUUUCAGCAUGUGAGUUACUCUCAUUAUUAGGACGAAUUCCAAUUUUUCUUAGUUUACUUUUAGACUAAUGUGUGGUUUUUACUAUAUCCCGCCCUUCUAUGUUGGUAUUCUAGACUUUGUGAAGUUCAUCUUGUCCAAAAAAUGUAGACCUCUGAGGUUAUAUUGAUUAGCUGAAUCAUGUUUCUAUUCAAGCUCUGUUGCAUGUUUGGUUUAGGAUGAACUCUAGGAUAAAAUUGCUAUGUUAGUUCUCCUUGUCCAUGCACUUAGGAGAAAAUGGUUAUGCUUGCUUGUCUCAUUCCCUUUUAAGUGUUGCAUGAACUAAUGAGUUAAGACAAUGCAGAGGUUUACAGUAGGCCAUUUCUAUCAGUAUUUCCAUAUUGCAUGUGGUCACGUUCAUAUGGAACUGCAUAUCUCUCUGACAAUAACUGCUUUGAAUAAGACUCGCUUGUUUAAAAUCUAUCUAUGACCCAUGUUGGUUAAUGUCUUGAUUGCUGGAAAUUAGUGCGUGUGUUUGUCCUGUAAAUUUGCCUUUAUCAACCCUUUUAAUGUGUUUGUCCUAUAAAUUUUCCUUUAUCAACCCUUUUAAUGUGAUCAACCCUCUAUUGAAUAACUACUCAAUCAUGAACCUAUGUUGUUAGUUUUCUAUGUCACACUCACCAUGUUAAAGAGCUCUACUGAUUCUCCUAGUCUUCAUUUUCAACGCCAUUUGUUCUAAAAUGCAAGUUCUAAUAUGCCUUAUGGGAGUCAUGUCAAUAUGUUUAUGAUUCUUUAUCUAUAUCUUAGUGAGAACUUAUGUUAAUAGGCUUCAGAGCUGUUUAAUUAGUUUGUUUGUUAAUUUGUGUGGUUAAGUUAUUUCUCUAAGUUUGUUGGGUAAGAAGGUCUUCCCUUUAGGCCUAGUGUGGAUCCUUGUGUAAGUUUGAGUUGACCAGUUGAUAUACUCUGAGGUUUGGGUGUAUUUAGAUAUGGUUUUGUUGUAUACAUGAAGAAUGAGCAUGCUGAAGUCCAGGCUUUACUGGGUUAUAGUCUUUUGGUACUGCUAUGUGUACUAGGCCUAUAUACUUUUAAUAGGUAAAUUUGUCACUUGUAUUCGUUAAUUCAGGAUCUGCAAUAAUUCAUAAAUUGAACAGAUAGGGGAAAUUAGUUAAAAGGAUAGGGUAUUCUGAUUCUCACACAAAUGAGUAAAAAGCAUGCAUAUAGGAUCUACUUGCUCUGCUUGCUACUUUUUUUCGAUGUGAUUUAUACACUAGUAGAAGUUAUGCCUAUAGGGAAUCACACACUCAACUCAAAUUGUCCAAUACAUGUAUACUAUCCAUAGUAUGUUAGUUUAAGUAUGGUGUACGUGUUUCCAUGUCUACUACUUUGUGCUAUUAGACAACGUAUAUAUAGAAAUCGACGCCUAUAAUUACUUGUUUAAUUAUUAGACAACAUGCAUAUAGGAUAUAAUUAUAUAUACCUUUGAUAACGUUCAUCUAGAUACCAUGACUAUAGGAUUUUAACUAAUUAAUUAGUUGUUUCUGUUGCUUUAUUAUACUGCCCUACUUAGAUGAUAUGCCUAUAGGGGAUAAUGUAUUAUAAAAUCAAAUUAGAAUGACAACUGUUAAAAUCUUGCUUAUAGGAUACUCUCACUCGCCUAGAAAGCAUAUCUAUAAAAUCAACGAUGUUAAUUCAGAGUUUUUAAAAAGUUGUGAUGCCUCAAAGCGGAUAUAAUUAUAAAUCAUGCCUAUAAGGUUUGCAAUACAUAUAAUUUGCAACUUCCUUAGUCUAAAGCUGCAAUACUUCUUGUACAAUACUAGAAAUCAAAAUUAUAGAAACCAUACUUAUAGGACUUAACGACUCUAAUACGUCUUAUCUCUAAAAUUGUAUGUUGUCUAAUCUACUUGUGUGCAUUUGUUAUUUAUGUGUGGAGGCUAACUUGGGCCUUUAAUCGUCUUUACAUGAAGUCCUGUUUGUUUUGAAUGUCGCAUAGUUUUAUCGUUUUUGAGCAGUCUAAGUAAGUCUAGAACAAACUCAAAUAGAGAUCUAAAGCCUCCUGGAUUAUAGGCAUGGGAUGGGUAUUGCACGCAUAGGGUACGAUUUAGCAAUGAAUUAGAGCGUCUUUAAGUAAACAACUCUAACAUAGUAAUUGGGUAGUAGGAGAUGAUAGUCUAUACCCGCUAAAUAAUAUGAGCAACCCCUAUCUUAAGGGAGUCUCGAAGUAUUAUUUAAGUUGUACGGGGUGAUCCUUUAGGCUAAAAAACUUAGAAUCCCCCCC